UGUAGAACCGCUUACUAAUAAAAUUAGAAUGUUGUAAUAGAAGUUGGAUGGAUGCUAUAAAUAUAAUAUAAUACAGGAAAUAAAUGAAAGUAGGUUGCACAAAUUGAUUUUUGUCAAUAAAACCAAAACCGCAUAAACUUAAAAUGGUCAGUUUUUUUUAUAUUUAUUUGAAAUCAUAUCUUGGUGCUGACACUCUUAAAAAGCUAAAGAAAGAACUCUCUGAGUUGGAGAGAGAGGUAUUUUUACAUGUUUACCCCUCGCAAUCAUUUGUAUAAUAUUUAUAUUUCAACUCCAAAUAGUAUCUAGUAUCUAACUUUCAGUUUUUUUAUAUUUAUUUGAAAUCAUAUCUUCAUCCUUUCGUUACUCCUUAGCAGGGGUUGUGGUUGACACCAAGAUUUGCCACCCAAUUGAGUUUGAUUUCUACCUGAUGUUAAUGUUGGUAUUCAGGGAACAAGCAGGCCAACACAUUACCAUGUGUUGUAUGAUGAGAAUAAGUUCACUCUUGAUAGUCUCUAAAUUUUAACAAACUGUCUAGGAUACACUUAUCAAAGUUCCUCCUGCUUACUAUGCGCACUUGGCUGCAUUUCGUGCCCAUUAUUACAUGGAGGGGGUGAAUUGUCUGACAGUGGUUCUUCACAUGGAGUCGGGGGCGUGCAACAAGAAAAUUCCCCUUAAUAGCAAUGUAGUAUUAGGUUAUAUAGUUAGGGAAAACCUCUUAAUAACAAUGUACAAUCAGAUCCCCUUAAUAUCAAUGUAUUACAAUUUUUUGACAUAAUGUUAUUAAAUGAAAUUGAU